GACGAACGCUGGCGGCGUGCCUAAUACAUGCAAGUCGAACGCACAGUCGAUACCGUAGCUUGCUACACCAUAGCCUGUGAGUUGCGAGCGGGUGAGUAACGCGUAGGUAACCUGCCUGGUAGCGGGGGAUGACUAUUGGACAAGAUAGCUAAUAUCGCAUAAUAUUGAUUAUUCCAUGAUAAUAGAUGGACAUGUUCAAUUGCAUCACUACCAGAGGGACGUGUUUUGUAUUAGCUAGUAGGAGAGGUAACGGCUCACCUAGGCGAAGAUACAUAGCCGACCCGGGAGGGUGAUCGGCCAACACGGGACCUGGACACGGCCCCGAAUCCUACGGGGAGGAGCAGUAGGGAAUCUUCGGGAAUGGGGGGAAGUCCGACCGAGCAACGCCGCGUGAGUGAAGAAGGUUUUCGGGUCGUAAAGCUCUGUUGUAAGGGAAGAACGGGUGUUAGAGUGGAAAGUUCACACUGUGACGGUAUCUUACCAGAAAGGGACGGCUAACUACGUG
rnacentral:rRNA from 1 species